rnacentral:rRNA from 1 species
UACGGAGGAUGCAAGCGUUAUCCGGAAUGAUUGGGCGUAAAGCGUCCGCAGGUGGCUAUGUAAGUCUGCUGUUAAAGAGUCUAGCUCAACUAGAUAAGAGCAGUGGAAACUACAAGGCUAGAGUACGUUCGGGGCAGGGGGAAUUCCUGGUGUAGCGGUGAAAUGCGUAGAGAUCAGGAAGAACACCCGUGGCGAAGGCGGCUCUCUGGGACGGUACUGACGCUGAGACGCGAAAGCGUGGGGAGCGAACAGG